UUCACCAUAACAAAGACGUGGAAUCAACUGAGGUACCUAUCAACAGUGGACUGGAUAAGGAAAACGUGGUACAUGUACACCAUGGAAUACUAUACAGCCAUAAAAAAGAAUAAAACCAUGUCCUCUGCAGCAACAUGGAUGGAGCUACAGGCUAUUAUACUAAGUGAAUUAAUGCAGAAACAGAAAACCUAAUGGCACAUGUUCUCACUUAUAAGUGGGAGCUAAGCAUUGGGUACUCAUGGACAUAAAGAUGGCAACAAUAGACACUGGAGACUACUGGAAGGUGGAGGGAAGGAGGAGCAGUAAAACAUCGGUUUACAUCUGUCAUGCUCAGAGUGUUCCCUACUCUCGUUUUUCCCCUCAACCCCUUCAAAGCUUUUCUAUAAUUAACCACAGUGUGACAGAAAUAGUUUAAGGGCUAACAUUCUCUGCCCUUUACUGCACUGAUGCAGCCUAAUAGUUUUCCGUCUUUAUUUAUUUCCUCAGUUUCUUUUCACCCUCUGAAACACAGUGGGGCUGUCCCAUUACUGUCUCUUCCUCCUAUCACAUCAGCUUCAAUGAAGAGGCUUAAGUUCCACAACUAGAGUAUCAGACUUGACGCAAAUUGUGAAUAUUUCUUUUGGCACUGUGAAGGAGAUGUCAUGAUUAUACAUGCUUCCUUUCUGGCCUUUCCUACCUCUACCCUCCCAGGCCCAGCUGGUACCUGGAAUAAACUGGAUGAGGAGGAGGCCCACCAGCACCCUGAAAUACCUCUUUCAUCAUCUGAUAACCCCCUCAGUGACCACGCAAAGGUAGCAGCUUUUAAUCAGCAGCAGGAGUGAGUGCAUUCUCUGAGGGCUAGAUGAAGGCUAAUUUAAUUCAAGAAACAAUUAAGUGGAUGUAUAUUAGAAGCCAGAUUUCUUUCCCCAUCCUUUUUCACAGUUGCUAUAAUAAUCCAAGACUUCUAAAAAUACAGCCAUAAGGAUGGCACAACCAGAGCCUGCUAACCAAAAAAUAAUGAGGCUAAAUGAGCUACAGAUUCCUCAGCUUAUAAAAGGAAUAACCCACUGCCAUAAUGGGUUGCAACAUUUCCUUUCCUAAAUAUUACCCAGCCAAUAUCUGAUUUGAGAGCCAGUACCUCUAUCCUGCUACUGUUUGUUUUAUUUUUUUAAACAGACCCAGGGGAGAAACAAAAAGACCAACUACUAAAGCUGCUAAAACAAGAUAAAGCAUACUGCAAGGGAAAGGCUGGAGCAGUUCACUGGCUGAAGUUAUAAACUCCAUCAAGAGACACACAAUCAGAUGGCACAACUGUCUUCAGUGGGUCACAGUUUUCCAAAUACAAAGGCGGUGCCUACCGAAGCUCUGGGAUUCUGGAAAAUAUACUGGACUUGGAGACAAAUCAGAAUAAAACAAUUCAACUUUCAAGGUAUUAAAAGGAUUCACCAACUCCUAUCUCUUAACACAAUGGCCAAAAAACUGCUGGACUCAAGGCACAGUCAUGUAUUCCUGGCAUAAGGCCUGCCUGGGUGUUCUAACUCAAUGAGCCCCACAUGCCAGACUAUUUCCACAGAGCUGAUAUGGGACAGGAAGGGCUAAGGAACUUCAAAACUAAUAGUUUGGUGCAACUGAUAUGGACCUGUGCAGUCACUGACCACAUGUAGCACUGAGAACUUGAAAUGUUGCAAGUGUGACUGAGGAAGUGAAUUAUUAAAACUUAUUUUUAACUAAAUUUAAAAGGUGAUAGCUAAUUCAGUCACUAGAAACAUUUUAAGUAUGUAAGUCUACUUUUCCAAUCGUAAGUUUUAUGAAAUCUAACCAACUAUUUAUGAAAAAAAUUCAGUGUCUAAAUUGAAGAUGUGCUAUAAAUGCACAUUAUAUAGGAGAUUUAAAAGACCUGGUCUGAAAAAAAAAAAGAAAGCAAAUAUUUCACUAGAUUUUUUUAUUGAUUAUAUGUUGAAAUAAUGUUUUGAAUACAUUGGUUUAAAUACAAAUAUUAUUUAAAUUGCUUUUGCCUAUUUCUUUUCACUUUUUCUACUGUGGCUACUAGAAAAUUUGAAAUUACAUAUGUGCCUUGUGUUCUAUGUCCAUUAGACUGGGCCAACCUAGACCAUAAUUCUCAUUCUCUCUAAUGAAGUCUCAUCCAACAAUAUGGACCACUUGAGAAACCUGCUCAUUGUUCCUCUGUCCAGUUCAUUCCACUUUAAUGCCAUGUUUCUUUGGUCUCCCAUGUGCCAGGCAUUGUUCUAGGCUAAGAAUACACCAUGUGGGCUCUUAACUGACUGUAGGCAAUAAACAAAGAACAACAAAAAAAAUUGUAUAAUUUCAAGUGCUGUGCAGAACUUAAACUAGGGAAAAGUAAUGGAGAGAGACUGGGUGAUGUGUUUAUGCUGAGUGGUGAGGGGAACUGCUGUGGGGAGGUCCUGGGGCUGUAAUCUGAACAGCAGGGAGCCACCCAUGCCAGGCUGGGACAAACAACUGGUCAAAGAACUUCGCAAGGAAUAAGUUGAAGUGCUUGAAGAAGGAAAAGAACAUCAGUGUGACUGGAGUACUGCUGUGCAGAGGGAUGUAGGAGAGGACAUCCUAGCAUGCACACUGCACUGAGAAUCUGGACUCAUGCUUAAGCCUCUUCUCUCACAUCAACUAGGCUUGGAUCCUGGGUAAGUCACUUCUCCACUCAGGAUGGCCUCCAUUUCCUCAUGCACUAAACACAGUGGCAAUUACUAAAGGAUCUUCCUUUCAGGUCUGACGGCAUAGACUUUUGUGACUCUUCUGUAUAUUCUAGGGAAUAAAAGUCCUGUCCUAGAAAAUUAAAGAAAGAGGAAACAAACAGAAACACUCUGACCCUUUAAAGAUUUAGCAACUGCUUAUCUGAUGCUUACCUUUCUCUUCCUCUCCCUCUUCUUUAAAAAAAUGAAAAUUACAUGACAUCUAGCCAACCCACUCUCAUAUAACAUCAAAGGGUAAACUUCUAAAUUCCCUGUUGUACACACAAGAAUGUUUUCCUCCAAAAUCUGGACCACCUUCCUCACAAAUACAAUCAGAUGUCCUGCACAGAGACUGCCCUUCUUUAUAAUUAGACUACAAUUCCUAUGAAAGUCAAUAUUUUCUAGUUUUCAGAACUUUACGUUUUCGAAGUAUUCCUUGAACUUCGGGAAAUUUGGAGGAUUGUCAGGCUGGCAAUGAUUCUGCCAAAAGUUUCUUCUGUGGCAAAACAUUAUCAAGGAGACCACAUCUAUAAAAGCCACAUCUCCAGGGAAAGAAUAAAAUACCUGGUCAUACUCAUUUAUCAUUAUGAUUUAAUAAUGCAAAAGAGAGGCCCAUGGGACUACAUCCAGGGCGAACUUCAAUUACAUCUCUAACCCAGGGGCAUAUGACAAAUGUUUAACAAUCAGCCCUUCACCAGCCAUCUCCAGCCCUUACAUGGAACCUCCAUACUGGUUUUCAGAGAAUGAGACUUAGGACGGGUUCAUAGAGGAGAGGAGGAAGAUGCAGUAAGUUGUAUUUGUAACAUGAUACAUGAGAACCAGGAACAAGGUCCUAGCAAUGGAAGCGAGAUGAGGUUUUACUUUAUAUUCAGAGAGAUGGGAGGAGUAGGGGAGCACAUGAUGAUGAUGGUAAGAAUAACAUCAGCCCAACAUUUAUAGCACUUUUUAAAAUGCUUUGUAUAUAUUAAACCAAUCAAACAU
rnacentral:lncRNA from 1 species